GGUCCCUAAUAACCCACUUAAACCUUUGUUUAGGCUUGCCACCAUCUUGACUCACAGCACAAUAAAUUCCUUCUGAGCUCACUGCCCUUGGUGAGGAGCUCAGUGAUUUAAUUAAAAGGGAAAAGUUUCCUUCCACAGCCAGAAGGCAGCCAGAAAUAUUGGACAGUUAGCAAGAAGAGGAAAACAGCUCAAGGAUAUUGUUAAAAACAUCUGGGUGAGAGAAAAAUGCAAAUAAUUUAACAAAGUUGUGCGAAGAGGAGAGCAGGCCAAAUAAUGAAACUUCAUCUAAGUCUAAACCCAAAUUACUUGCCUUAAGUUUUAUCUGUGCUGUGGGGGCUCUGUGUCUCACUGGCCGCGCUGUAGUUGGAAGCACCAAUUCCAAAUUACAGAGUUUUCAACAUCCUCAUCUACAAAAGGUGCAUUAUUCUCAGGAAAAAAGAGACCAUUCUUCUGGGAUCCAAAUGCAGGUUUUUGGGCUCAUGCAUGCACAACUUCACGCACUUAUCAGGAGCAAACAGAGGCACCCGAAGCUCGUCUGCCUCGCACACAAAGAUUACCCGGAGGAGAAAGAAGGCAGGGAAAGAAAAUAACAUGGAUUGAAUGUGGCCCCAGCUAAGUACCAGAGUUAAUCAUGGAUUCCUUCAGUACUGAAGGCAAUAAAUGAUGGGACUGUAUGAUAACAGAGACCUGGUCCAUGCUGGCACGAGAUACCUAAAGGCAGGGGAAGAGGAGAAAACCACAUCCUGAGGUCCUGAGCCCUUUGUACAACCCUACUGUGUCUUCCAAAGGGACAACAAGGGGAGGCACAGUGAAAAAAGAGGCUGUGAACCAAGGAAGGGUUGGUGAAUAAAUGUUUUUUUGUUUUGUUUUGUUUUAAUUCACCAGCUCACCACACCCAGAACAUACACAGUUAUACCCUAACGUUUGAAAAUUUUGCUUGUUAGAGUUGUACAAGGAUAAUCUAUCCAAAUGAGGACAAAGUUGGAAGUGUUGUGCCUUCUCUUCAACCACACAAGGACACUUACUUUGUUGAGGAAGCGAGCAUUCAGCAAACCUACGCAGAUAAGCAGAUGUGAGACUGGGAAAUAACAAGGUUAUCAAUGACACUGGUUGUAGAAGUCCAGCACAGAACUAAAAUGAAGAGACACAGAAUGACAGCAAACUUUAAGCAAAACUUGACUCCAAUGCCUUUGUUUGUACAACUCAAAAAUAAAUUUAAAAAAAAAAGUACAAUAAAAGAAAAACACCACACAUCAAGAUUC
ensembl:lncRNA